CCUACGGGUGGCAGCAGUGGGGAAUAUUGCACAAUGGGGGAAACCCUGAUGCAGCGACGCCGCGUGAAUGAAGACGUAUUUCGGUAUGUAAACUUCUAUCAGCAGGGAAGAAAAUGACGGUACCUGACUAAGAAGCCACGGCUAACUACGUGCCAGCAGCCGCGGUAAUACGUAGGGGGCGAGCGUUAUCCGGAUUUACUGGGCGUAAAGGGAGCGUAGGCGGUGUUGUAAGUCAGAUGUGAAAGCCCGGGGCUCAACUUCGGGACUGCAUUUGAAACUGGAUGACUAGAUUGCAGGAGAGGAGAAUGGAAUUCCUAGUGUAGCGGUGAAAUGCGUAGAGAUUAGGAAGAACACCAGUGGCGAAGGCGACUUACUGGACUGUAAAUGACGCUGAGGCUCGAAAGCGUGGGGAGCAAACAGGAUUAGAUACCCCUGUAGUC
rnacentral:rRNA from 1 species